rnacentral:rRNA from 1 species
AGUGAACGCUGGCGGCAGGCCUAACACAUGCAAGUCGGACGGCAGCACAAGAGAGCUUGCUCUCUGGGUGGCGAGUGGCGGACGGGUGAGGAAUACGUCGGAAUCUGCCUAUUUGUGGGGGAUAACGUAGGGAAACUUACGCUAAUACCGCAUACGACCUACGGGUGAAAGCGGAGGACCUUCGGGCUUCGCGCAGAUAGAUGAGCCGACGUCGGAUUAGCUAGUUGGCGGGGUAAAGGCCCACCAAGGCGACGAUCCGUAGCUGGUCUGAGAGGAUGAUCAGCCACACUGGAACUGAGACACGGUCCAGACUCCUACGGGAGGCAGCAGUGGGGAAUAUUGGACAAUGGGCGCAAGCCUGAUCCAGCCAUGCCGCGUGGGUGAAGAAGGCCUUCGGGUUGUAAAGCCCUUUUGUUGGGAAAGAAAAGCAGCCGGUUAAUACCCGGUUGUCAUGACGGUACCCAAAGAAUAAGCACCGGCUAACUUCGUGCCAGCAGCCGCCGUAAGAC